rnacentral:rRNA from 1 species
UACGGAGGGGGCUAGCGUUGUUCGGAAUUACUGGGCGUAAAGCGCACGUAGGCGGCUUUGUAAGUUAGAGGUGAAAGCCCAGGGCUCAACCCUGGAAUUGCCUUUAAGACUGCAUCGCUAGAAUUGUGGAGAGGUGAGUGGAAUUCCCAGUGUAGAGGUGAAAUUCGUAGAUAUUAGGAAGAACACCAGUGGCGAAGGCGGCUCACUGGCCCGGUACUGACGCUGAGGCGCGAAAGCGUGGGGAGCAAACAGG